GACGAACGCUGGCGGCGUGCUUAACACAUGCAAGUCGAACGGUGAAGCGCCUUCCUUUUUGGUGGGUGUGGAUGAGUGGCGAACGGGUGAGUAACACGUGAGUAACCUGCCCCCUUCUUCUGGAUAACCGCAUGAAAGUGUGGCUAAUACGGGAUAUUCUGGGUCUGUCGCAUGAUGGGUCUGGGAAAGAUAUUGUUUCGGUGGGGGAUGGGCUCGCGGCCUAUCAGCUUGUUGGUGGGGUGAUGGCCUACCAAGGCGGUGACGGGUAGCCGGCCUGGGAGGGUGGACGGUCACACUGGGACUGAGACACGGCCCAGACUCCUACGGGAGGCAGCAGUGGGGAACAUUGCACAGUGGGCGCAAGCCUGAUGCAGCGACGCCGCGGGAGGGAUGGAGGCCUGCGGGUUGUGAACCUCUUUCGCCAGUGAAGCAGGCCUGCCUCGUUUGUGGGUGGGUUGACGGUAGCUGGAUAAGAAGCGCCGGCUAACUACGUG
rnacentral:rRNA from 1 species